UGACCAUUUUAUUAAUCUACCAUUUAUUUAAAAUAUUUCGUUACAGAGGGAAGAACUCAUCUGGGAUUCCAAUUAGUUAACUAGCCAGUCACUUAGCUGACACCUGUUUAGGAAACAAACAAACAGACAAACCAAAAACGCCAAGAUUAUCUGCUAACAGUCUCCUUUAAUAAGUAAGGUUUCUCAAACUUGAGGGAAAAAAGUUAGGAUUCCAAUCAGAAGCUGUGGAGGCAAGGUAAAAAGAAAUCUCAGCCCACGCAGUAACAUCCAGAGAGAAGCUCUGCCUCAAGACUUGAAUCUAAUCAGAGACCAAGCCAGAGAACAAAUUCUCCUGCUGCUCACACAGCUAUUUCUAAAUGCAGAAGCUUGCGUGACAAAACCAGCUACAAAACAACAUAUUUUUCAAAGUCUGAUCACAUGCUAAGGAAAAUAACUUGGAAGAAUAUGUAGACGAGCCUUGCUGCUGCUUGUUGUUGUACUGUAAGCACUGAAUCUUGUUGCAAGGAUUAUGUACUGUAAGAAAUGUCAAAC
rnacentral:lncRNA from 1 species